rnacentral:rRNA from 1 species
CACAGAGGUCUCAAGCGUUGUUCGGAUUCAUUGGGCGUAAAGGGUGCGUAGGCGGCGCGGUAAGUCGGGUGUGAAAUCUCGGAGCUUAACUCCGAAACUGCAUUCGAUACUGCCGUGCUUGAGGACUGGAGAGGAGACUGGAAUUUACGGUGUAGCGGUGAAAUGCGUAGAUAUCGUAAGGAAGACCAGUGGCGAAGGCGGGUCUCUGGACAGUUCCUGACGCUGAGGCACGAAGGCCAGGGGAGCAAACGGG